rnacentral:lncRNA from 1 species
GAAGAGCUACUUGUUAAAGACACACUAGUCACUAAUGAGAAUGUGUUUGAAGAGAACAUUGAACCAAGACCCAAUAUUUCGUCAUAUGAGAAUGAUGAAACUAACAUUAAGGAAAACAAGAAAGACACCAAAGAUUUUGAAUCAAGGCCCAACAUUUCAGCUUACGGAGAUAAUGACAUUAAUGCUACGGAAAAGAAUGGAGACACUAAAGAUUUUGAACCUAGACCCAACAUUUCAGCUUAUGGAGACAAUGAGAUUGAUGUUAAAGAAAAGAAGGGAGCCGCUAAAGAUUUUGAACCAAGACCCAACAUUUCAGCUUAUGGAGACAAUGAUAUUGAUGUCAAGGAAAAGAAGGGAGCCACUAAAGAUUUUGAACCAAGACCAAACAUUUCAGCUUAUGGAGACAAUGACAUAGAUGUGAAUGAAAAGAAGGGAGCUGCUAAAGAUUUUGAACCACGACCCAACAUUUCAGCUUAUGGAGACAAUGACAUAGAUGUUAAUGAAAAGAAGGGAGCUACUAAAGAUUUUGAACCACGACCCAACAUUUCAGCUUAUGGAGACAAUGAGAUUGAUGUUAAGGAAAAGAAGGGAGCCACUAAAGAUUUUGAACCACGACCAAACAUUUCAGCUUAUGGAGACAAUGACAUAGAUGUGAAUGAAAAGAAGGGAGCUGCUAAAGAUUUUGAACCACGACCCAACAUUUCAGCUUAUGGAGACAAUGACAUAGAUGUUAAUGAAAAGAAGGGAGCUACUAAAGAUUUUGAACCACGACCCAACAUUUCAGCUUAUGGAGACAAUGAGAUUGAUGUUAAGGAAAAGAAGGGAGCCACUAAAGAUUUUGAACCACGACCCAACAUUUCGGCUUAUGGAGAUAACGAGAUUGAUGUUAAGGAAAACAAUGGAGCCACUAAAAUUUUUGAACCAAGACCCAACAUUUCAGCUUAUGAUAACAAUGACAUUGACACUAAGGAAAAGGAGAAAGCUGCCAAAGAUUUUGAACCAAGGCCUAAUAUUUCGGGUUAUGGAAACAACGACAUUGAUGCUGAUAAGAAUGAGGAAUUCACAAACGAUUUUGAACCCAAGCCAAGUGUCACUAAAUCUGAUCAUUAAAUGUAAUAAUGAAAUAGAAUGCAACUUCAAUAUGUGAUGUAACAUAUUUAAAUAAGUCGUUGCAGCUUCAUGUUCAAUGAUUAUGUAGUGUGUGUAUGAUGACAUUUUGAAUAAUUGUAUUAUUGUCAAGUUAAGAGAUUGCUGAUGGAACUUCCUAAUUGUUUACCAAGAAAUGUAAGUAGCCUUGGUGAUUAUAGGGUUUUUCAAUAGAUUAGCAAAGUAUUCAUAAUACAAAGCAAUGGAAAUGUAUAAAUAUUAAAAAUGAUAAAAAAGACUAAACGACUAGUAUUUCUAUAGUCCCUCCAUUCCAAAAUAAGCGUUGUGAUAGAUUUUUUCACAGAUUCAGAAAAGCACUAAAUUAUGAAAGAUGAUGCAAUUUUACAAAAAUUAUCCUAAUAAACAAACUAUUAUUAACCAUUUUCAUAAAUGUACAGUGGAAUAUAAUGACUUGAAAGUGGUGUAGACAAUGUCAAUAUUACUUUAGGAAUAUAAUUGGAAAAUAAAUAAUUAAUUUCACAUUAAAAAGGAAUUGAAAGAUACAACAUCAAUAUAAAUUGUAGAAAAUGACUCACAUUAUAGGCCGCUGAACCAUAGAACUUCCUUGAAAUAUACUAUUUUAUUUUUUUGUUAAAUCAACUCAAUUCUGAUUUUUUUUAUUAAAAAAAUUAGAAAUAUAAAAAAAAAAAAAGAUGGUAAAAUCAAUUAAUUAAAUUGCCUUGUGAGAUGAGGAAGUGUUUCAUAUCAAUGCAAGAAAGACGGCACAAGAACCUGGAUAAAAAGAAUAACAAAACUGAAUUUCCUGAGAACAUCAUCAAAUCUGAUAAAUAUGUCAUGUUAUGCUUCAUAUUACACAAGGGAGGUGCAAACAACUCUAUAGCUCUAUAGAGCUGGGCCUCUCCAAUUUUGGGGCCCAAAAUUAUUAUGUUUUGAUAUAUAAUGCACAAAACAUGUUUAUAUAUACUUGUAGCAUUGUGAAUUUAACAUCAGUGAAGGUGUGGCCCAGUGGUAAAAGAUGCUAGUGUUAUGCGUGUUGAUUGCGGUUUGAUUCCUAUUGAUGGCUACUGUUCACAUUUUACUAUUUUUCAGCAUUACGCUAGUUUAUUUUUCUCUGUUUUACAAAAAGUUUGUAUUUUUUUAGGAGCCAAUUUUUUCAAGAGAGCCGAGCCUCAGAUUUUACAGGGACGUCCCUGCUUACAAUGCAAUAGGAAAUGUUGUAAGUUCAAAAACACAAGAUGUGUAAUUGCUCCACGUAUCAAGAGGAAGAAACGAUAAAUUCUCGAGUACUUGCAUUUUAGGAACUUAUCAUUUACGAAGAUAUCGGAGACACAUGGAAAAAUAGUUUGACUCACAUUAUAGACCAUCUAUCGGGAAUGUAGUGAGAGAUGGAAUAUUCCAGAGUUCCAAACGUUGAAGACAAGUGCUGUUCAUAAGCAUUUUAGGAAGAGACAUCAGUGUAUGAUCCCAACCAAUCGAUACAUGUCGUAGCAGAGACGGGGAAUCACUCCUAAGCAACCAUCGUUGGAUAUAGGAAUCCAUACAUGACCUUGUUUUGUUGAAAUUAUCAGAAAAAUAAAUGGAUAAUGCUUUUCCAACAUGCUUGGUUCGAAACUUGGACUUGGUGCGUGAAUAAUUUGAUUGUAGGCUACACACUAUUGGGUUUGGUGCGUGAAUAAUUUGAUCGGUGGUCUAACUGAAUAGGAUAUGAUACCAUAUUAGUUUAUUCAAUUUUUAUACAUAUUCAGCCAAAAACUAUUUUUCCAUGUGUCUCCGAUAUCUUCGUAAAUGAUAUGUCAAACUAUUAACUGGAACUUUAUAAUUGAAUACAUCAUUUCUAUACUAAAAACUGCAAGGUUCAUAAUUUUAUAGACCUUUCAAGGUUCAAUAGAUCAAAAUAUUGAAACAGAUAAUGUUUGACUCACAGAACAUACACACAGAACAAAAUGGACUGAAGUUUUGUCUUUAUCUUGAACAACAAGCAAUGUUUAAAUUCCAAGAGGAAAAUAAAAUUUAAAAUCUAAAUUUAAAUGAGUGAAACCGCAUAACAGCAACAAUCACACAAACAUACAUUGUAUGUUGGUCUAAGACUAAUGUGAAAUUAUUGGUUAAUGCACCAUUACAACAAACCAGUGUGAUCCCGUGCUAAGCAACCUAACCAGUUGUGCCAUUUUGAAAACAUCCUUCAUCUACUUUGAUCCUUGUUGUGCCAAUGUUCGGCUGCUCCAAGAUUUCUGGCUCUGAAACUAUGGUUGGCUUCGGCUUUGAGGGAUUAGCGUUAAAAAACUCUGCGGAAAAUCUGGAUUCCUCCAUAGCGAUGGACACACCAGAAAGGUGUUUUGUUAAAAAUCAAUUGGUUCCAACCCUUCCAAAUAAACCACAAUGUAACACCGAAUAAAUGGCUAGCCAUGGUAUCCGAGUCUGUGAUCCACUGUGCUAGCCUAAUCUGUUGAGGAACAUGAAUGCCAAGAGCUGAAGGAAACCAAAGUUGUUGUCGACUGUCGUAUAUUUGUGACUGUUGAUACCAAAAACGAAGGCAAAAAAAAACGUAAAUAUCAGUUAGUUGAAUUGAGCAUAACUUCGGAGAGUUAACAGCAUGCAUCAUGGACAAAGAGUACAAUAAAAAAAUAACAUGCAAGUGAAAUAUUAUCAUAAAAUUGAGAAUCAUACACAGAAAUGGAUAACUCGUUGCGAUAUGAGAAUGUGGAAGUGUUUGAAUUGAAUUGCAUGGAUUCUGAAUACAAAAAUUGAGUUUCAUUAUCUUCUCAUUAUUGAUUAAUAAUUUAACAUAGUUUUAGAAUUGUGAAAGUAAAUUUUGGUGUGAGUCUUGUUUUGCUCAAUUUGAUAAUCAUUGCAUGAAAAUUAACCGUUUUCAUAUCAAUUCAAUGAAUCUAGAAUUUUCUCUCGAUUUCUCUCUUUCUUCCUUGUUAAGCUUCUGCAUUUCUUCUACUUUCACCAUGGAUAUGGUGAAGUUUAACAUGCUUCUUGACCUGCAAAUUCAAGAGCUGAGAAUUUUGAUUCCAUUAUUAAAUUUGACUAUGCAUAGUUUGCUUAUUUAUUUCCAAGAGAUAUCACAUCAGUGGCGGAGCCAGAAAAAAAUGUCAGGGUGGGCCACUAAAAUUAACUAUUGAAAAAUUGUUUAAAGUCUCGCAAAUUAGACUCAUAAUUGAAUUAUUUAAAUUUUUCGGGUGGGCCACUACACCAAUUUGCGGGAAUUUGGAUCAACCGAAACCUAAAACCGACAUAAAAUUGUAUAAAAUCUCGCAAAAUAGACCUAUAAUUGAAUUAUUUAAAUUUUCGGGUGGGCCACUACACCACUUUGCAAGAAUUUGGAUCAACCAAAACAUAAAACCGACACAAAAUUGCAUAAAAUCUCGCAAAAUAGACCUAUAAUCAUUUUUUUUACUUUUUCGGAGUGGGCCCACCCCAGCCCUUGAGCUCCGCCACUGUAUCACAUCAUCAUGAGAUAAAUAAGUACUUCACAACGAAACCUACCUCGUCUCUAUUUGAGAUCCAAUUUAUACUAUUAAAUCCUUCUAAGAUCAACUAUUAGAAACACAUGAUAUCGAGACAACAACAUUUGGAUAGAUUAGAAAAAAUAAUUGCUCGUUUAAAUGACCGCCAUUGAGAUUAUGAAUACACACACUUCAUCUAUUCUUUAUAUGUAUAAUAUAAUUCAUAAAAUCCAUAACAAAUCAAUUAUCUCACACACGAAUUGAGAGACCAUCUUUUAAAAUUCCACUUGUUAUUCAUGAGAUUGCUACCUAAGGCAUAUUCACUAAUUUUAAAUCAUAUAUUAAGCGCUUUACUUUCCGAUCUCUUUGCCUCUUAAACACUUCACUUCCCGAUAAUUAAGUAUAGCUGACUCAACGGUAGUUAACUGUUGUCGAUUUGCUCAACGGUAGUUAACUACCACCAAAGAUAUUUGCGUCAUUUCAAUGUAUGUUUAGGAAACUUUUAAUGUGAGAAAAGCAAUUUUUAAUCAUUUAUUGCAUAUGCGAAACCCGUCCCACACGCUAGCUUAUUUAGUGACAUAAAAUUACAAAUAAAAGAAACACUGGAAAUGUAUAUGCAAUAUUGAUACAUUAAAAGACAAUAGAAACAAUGACUCACACAUUGAAAUAACAUAAAAAAAAAAAAAAAACAUCUUUAAAAAAACAAGAUUUUUUUCUCGAAGGAAUAACAAUAUAAUAAUGAUAUUUGAAUAAUCAUUUGAUGACAAUUUUUUGAACAAUAUUUACUUUUUUUUUAUUAGUCAAAAACAUUAAAAAAACAUAAUAUAAAUAUGAAAAAAGAUUUGUCAUAUUAUUUAAAUAUCACUUAUCUUAAAAAAAACAAAAAAAGAACUUUUUUAACGGGAACUUAUACGAGGGAUAAAAAACAGAAACUUGACAUGAUAUUGUAGAAGGUACAUUGAGUGGUUUGUAAAAAGAGAAUUGCUAGGAGCCAAGCAACAGAGCUACUAAUUUCUACUGAAACAUACUUUCCUUCCGAUUUGUUUUUUGAUGAUAAUAAAUAAAAAGUUAAAAAACAAUAAAAAUAAAAAUUGGAUAGCCGGUAGCCAAACAAGUAGGAAUGACGUGGCUGACUGUAGGAGCGUGUGUUGAUGUGGUGGCGCUUGGGUGUCAUAGUUUUUUUGUGUCAGAGGUAACUUUGUGUCUAUCUCUCUCUUAACAACUCAUUCUCUCUCAUCUAAAUAAUUUAUUUUAAUCAUUCUCUUUCAUCUAAAAUAAACUUAUGUCAUCAAUGACACUAAAAAACUAUGACACCCAAGUAUUUUUCGUGUUGAUAAGCGUCUGUCUAGCAGUUCACUUGUAAAAAUGUUGAUCAUUGAAAAAAAUAAAAAAUAUGUCUAAUCAACGUCUCACCCACUACUCUUUAAUUGCUCUUUAAAAUUAUUGAGAUGAGAUGUCCAAUUAAAACGUGAAAUUAUUUUAACACGUAAAAAUUGCUUCAAUAUUUUUUUUUUUAGAGGAAUUGUAUUAUUUGAACAAUCAUUUUAUAGAUAAUUUUUGAAACAAUCAUAAUUUUAUAAAGGAAAAGAGGUAUUGAUACAAAAACUAAAGAGUACUGAUAUAUGUACAACCAUUUGGUACAACUUUGAUGACAACUUUUAUUUACUCUCUUCUCAUUGAUCCAAAACAAUAGAGAGAAAAGAAGAGAGUGAAUAAGAAUAUAAUGUGAGUUGAGAGAUAAAGUUGUCAAAAAAUUGUAAUAAAGUGGUUGUACAAACAUUAUUUCUCAAAAAUAAAAUAAUAGAGAGAAAAUAAAAACAUAAUAUGAGUAUAAUAGAGAAAGUUGUCAUAAAGUUGUCAAAAAAUAGUUGUAAAAAUAUCUUCUUUUUUUUUGAGAAAUGAUAUUUGAACAUCCAUUUACUGACAACUUUUUCUCUCAUUCUCACGUUAUUUUUUAUUUUAUCUCUCUAUUGCUUUGAUUUUCAUACAAAUACUUACUUUUUCUUUCUUUAUCUCAUAAAUUAUCAACUAAAUGGUUGUUCAAAUAACGGUUAUCAUAUUUUUUACCCAGCCAACAUCCAUAACCGACUGAUAUUAUUAAUAUUUACUAUUAAAAUGCAUGUAACAUAAUCCCCGUGAGCUUAGCUCAGUUAGUAGAGAUAUUGUAUUUUAUAUGCAGGAGCUGGGGUUCGAACCCCAGACAAUCCACUUCUCCACAAAUAAAUUGUGUGAGCUCUAGCCAUUAGACUACUUGAACAAAAAAAAAGAAAUGCAUGUAACAUAGUAACACCCACUUGUUUAGUCCUUUCCCAUCUUCUGUCACUUCUUUCUUUGACUCUUUCUUUAGUUUUCUGACUCUUUUAACAGCUAGCUACAUUAUACAUGUUAUAGCUACUUUCAUUUUCAAUGGCUGAGAUCGACCACUACGUGAAACUACAUGAAACAGUUACAACAGGGGAUUCAGGUCAUUUUUAAGGAUGCAGAUUUUCUGCUGUAACAGCAGGUGUGUAUGACAUGUGAGUCAUCCGAUCAAAUUUCAGUGGCUGAGAUUAAAGUGUGUGAAAACUGACAUAACAAUCUAAACUGUUGGAUCCAUGUUCAUUGGCUGAGAUCGACCACUGCGUGAAGCAGUUACAGCAGGGGAACCAGGUCCUUUUUAAGAUGCAGAUUUCCUGCUGUAACAGCAAGUGUUGUAAGACAUGUGAUCCAUCCGAUCAAAUUUCAAUGGCUGGGAUUAAAGUGUGUGAAAACUGACAGAACAAUCUAAACUGUUGGAUCCAUGUUCAAUGUCUGAGAUCGACCACUGCGUGAAACUGCGUGAAGCAGUUACAGCAAGGGAUCCAGGUCCUUUUAAGGAUGCAGAUUUCCUGCUGUAACAGCAGGUGCUGUAAGACAUGUGAGCCAUCCGACCAAAUUUCAGUGGCUGAGAUUAUAGUGUGUGAAAACUGACUGAACAUUCUAAACUGUUGGAUCCAUGUUCAAUGACUGAGAUCGACCACUGCGUAAAGCAGUUACAGCAGGGGAUCCAGGUCCCUAUUUUUAAUUAUUUCUUUUCUCUCUAGUCUCGUUCUCUCUUCAUAUUCAGAAUUUUUUUUCUGACCCUUUUGUCCAAAAAAAAUUCAGGUCUGACCCCCUUUGAAAAAAAAAUUCCAAAAUGACCCACUUUUGGUUUUUUUUUUUUUUUGUCUUUUUGUGCGUUCCCGCCAUUUGAAACGGCGGGACUGGCCGCCGGUUUGACACGUGUGAAACUGGAUGGUUUAUAUAUCAUUUCGUCGGAUAAUUUAUCGGUGAAAAAUAUAUAUUUCGUCGGACAAUAAUAAAUAUAUAUAUUCGUCGGAGAUCCUAAAUUAUCCAAUAAAAAAAACAAAAAUGAAAAACUGGAUGGUUUGUGGUGUGUGAAACUGGUUUUAAAAAGGAUAUAUAUUAUUAUAAUGUACAAGUUGCCCAAAAAAGCAAAAAACGAAGAAAAAAAAAAACUAAAAGUGGGUCAUUUUGGAAUUUUUUUUUUAAAGGGGUCAGACCUAAAAUUUUUUUGGACAAAAGGGUCAGGAUUUUUUUUUUUCUUCUCAUAUUCACUACAGGAACAAUUUUUUAAAAAGAAAAGUAUAAAAUAGAAACAUGAUCUUGAUGUUCGCAAGUUUGACAAACAUUGACUGGUUGUACAAUUGGUUAAACAAUGUCUCACACACCGCUAGUUACUCCAUCAAUCUCAAAUUAUGUCAUUAUAGUAAAAUUUGUAUGUCUUAAAUUAGAUGUCAUUUUAUAAUAUAAAUGUAUCUUUUUCAAUUCUUUUAAUUUAUAUUUUCCAUAUAAUUAAUAAAAGAUGUUUUAGUAAAAUAACUCAUAAUUACGCUCUUUUAAACAAUAUUAAUUGGGUUUUUUAAUUUAUCUGAGAUUGUUAAAAAGAUAUAUAAUUUGAGACAUUGACAUUUUUUUUUUGUCAAGUAGCCACUAGCUUAGUAGCUAGAGCUCACAUAAUUUAAUCGUGGAGAAGUGGAGUGUCUGGUGUUCGAACUCCGGCUCCUGCAUAUAAAAAACAAUAUUUCUACCAACUGAGCUAAGCUCACGAGGAUAUUUGUUGUUAUUAUUUGAGACAUAGAGUGUCUGGGGUUCGAACCUGUCCGAGGUUCGAACCCCGGCCCUGCAUAUAAAAAGCAAUAUUCCUACCAACUGAGCUAAACUCACGGCGAUAUUUGUUGAUAUUAUUAUAUUAUUAUUAUUAGAUUAUUAGAUGUAUAAUUAGAACGUGUGAAAUUUGUUAAACAUGUAAAAUAUAGCUUCAAUCAUUUUCCAAGUGGUAUGCAUAAUAAACGAGCUAUUUCUUAUGGUUGUUGAGUAUCUAGCUAUAAAUAAGUGAUUAACUACUUAUAGGAUCAUUCAUCCAACACUAAACUCAUAUAGACAUUGAGGAUUUGAUUUGAUUCUUAAGAUGAGAACUGCUCUUGCUUUAUUGCCUCUCAUGCUUUUCUUGGUAAGUUACACUUUUCUUGGUCUUAGUUUUUAUUUUUGGUAGUGGUUUCUUGGUCUUAGUUACUAUCAGCAGUAUAGUACCAUCUUUUAUAAAUAAAUAAAAAAAUACUAGUACCCUCUAACCUCUAAAUAUAUACUCAUAUGUUACUUUUUAAUUGUCACUAUUUGUAGUUUCUUUUUAUUUAUUUAUUUAUUAUUUUUUAAGUUCAAUUAACAAAAAUUAAUGAUUAUUUUAUCAUUAAUACAUUUAAGUAUUUGAUGCAAUUGAAACAGGAGGAAUGAGAAUAAUUAUUUAAUAUAUUAACAAAAAAAAAAAAUUUAAUAAAAGUAACAUAAAAUUUACAUUUCUUCAUAUGUGUAAUAAGUUAAAAAUGACAACUAUAAAGUAACAGAUAUUUGCACAAUUUAUUUAUUAUUUCAUUCAUAUUGUCAGCUUUGCAAAUAAAAUGUGUCGGCAAAACAAAGUCAAUUCUAGUUUUCAAUUUUUUUUUUUUAAGAAACAAAGAUGGUAUAUAUUAACAAAAGGCGGUGAAACCUCCUAAGUACAAGAUGUAUUAAGAAGUCACCCCUCAAAGAGUCAAACAAAUGUAGUAAUUACAAUAAACCGGAUGCGUCGAUACCUAAACAAAGCAUAGGAUCUGACCACCACCUUUGAGAACCGUACACAAAUGUGACUUUACUAGCUUUUAGCCACCAUAAAGAGUGCAAUUUUACUUUAUCUGAUAAGCCUUCAAUGGAUGUUUGGGUAUUAUUAAAAAGUCUGUUGUUGCGUUCAUUCCAAACCAUCUACACACAAAAUAACCAAAUGAGCUGCAUAAAGGAUCUACGCGCCCUAAUUUUCAAAUUUAAUUUUGAUAUUCUAUUUAAUUGUACCAUCUAAUCAAUACUACGUCUAUCACGUACAUGUUACUUAUUUUUCAAUUUUCAUUUUAGAUAAUGAGAAUUAAUCAAUGACUAAUAUGGUUAAUUUGGUAAAAUUGUUACUAAUUUCCUUAAUUUGUAAUAAUUAAUUCUAUCUUUCAAUAUAUGAUUUUUCAUUGCACUUUUGUUUAAAAAUAUCGAAUCAUUGUCUACAAUUUUCUAUACGCACUACUAAAGAAUAGAACUGUUUCAUAUUUUCUUUCUUUACUAUAUAUUAAAAAAAUUGUUUUAAUCUCAUCAUUUGCACGCAUGCCUCAAUGCACUCUUAUCUUUCUUAUAUCCUUGAAUUUAUUUAUUUUUUAAUUUUAAAUAUAUCUAUUUUUUCAAAUAUCUUCUAUAUGUUGUGCACUUAAAACAGUUUUUUUUCCUUGCUAAAUCAUACUUUCAACUUGGUUUUGUCCCUAGAUUUAACUAUUACUUAAAACAAUUAUUCAAAUACUUUUUUUUGAAGGAGUUAUUCAAAUACUAUUAUAAAAAUGACAAAAUAGUAAAUAAAUAGUUUAAAUGAAAAGUAAAAAGGGAAAAAUCCAAUCAAAAUUAAUGAAUCCUCUUUAAUUUUCCAAAUUUAUUAUAUAUUAUAGAAGCAUGGGUUUAAUAGAUCAGAAACUACUAUAUUUUCUAAUCAAAUAUUAUUAUUCAAAUGAUUCAUGUUUCUCAAUUGUCGUAUGAUUUCAUUCAAUAAAAAUUAUAUAUAUAUAUAUAUAUAUAUAUAUAUAUAUAUAUAUAUAUAUAUAUAUAUAUAUAUAUAUAUAUAUAUAUAUAUAUAUAUAUAUAUAUAUAUAUAUAUAUAUAUAUAUAUAUAUAUAUAUAUAUAUGGGAUAGGAUCAAAUGACAUCAAGGUGUCAAAUUAAAUUUGACACCAAAUCCUAACCAUUAAUACAAUUUUCAUCUAACGGUUCCCAUCAAUUCAUUAAGUGCUCACAUGCUUUUAAAUGACAUACUUUUUAAUUUUAGAAAUAAUUUAUUCUUUCUCCUCUUGCUUAAUUACUUGAAGGUGUCUUUUAGCAAGUUAUUCUAUGAGCAUUUGUUAAAAGACAUCAACUAAUUUUUAUGAAGAUGUAUUUUAACAAAGUUAUAACUAAAAAGUAGAAAUCACACCUUGAGGUGUGGGUUGCUAAAAGACACAUUCAUGGAUGCGUUCUAGCAAAACCCCAUAUAUAUGAGAUAAGAUCAAAUGACACUAAGGUGUCAAAUUAAAUGUGACACCAAAUUUUAUCCAUUUAAUUUGUUUAAUCCAAAGGCUUAAAACAAUCACUAGAACAAUUAAAACGAUCAAAUAUUUCUUGAUUUCUCUUGCUAUAUCUUUUCUUUAAUGUUUGAUGUUGCAUUUAUGUAUGAAAUUAAUUUCUCAUAUAUGCCCUUCAUUUCAAUUUUUGAGUAUUUCGCUUUCCUUGAUCACUUCUGUUGCUGCAACACUUAGGGUGUGUUUGUUUCAAGUUAUAAUUGUUGAUUCCCGGGAAUAAAAUGAUAGAAAUGUAUAUGCCUAUGUUUGUUACAAGUUUACUAAAAUUUAUUCCUUGGUAUAAAAUGUUCCUGGGAAUAGAAAAAAUUUCCCAAGGAAAAGGGUGGGAAUAAAGUUCCCAUGGAGAUGGGAAUAAAUUCAUAAAUAGUUUACCUAUUAUAAUCCCUAUUUUUAUGGUUCCUAGGAAUAUUAUAAAGCUAACCAAACAUAUUUUUCCUAAAUUCCUUGGAAUAAAAUUCUCAUCUUUAUAUUCCAAGGAAUGUUAUUCCUAGGAAUAAAUUUGGUAAACUUGAAACAAACACACCCUUAGUUUUUUUAAAUCGAUAUUUUGUAUAAACUUUAUUUGCAACAAUGCUAAUGUUCUUUUUUAAUAACACAAGUUUUUUCCGGUAAAUUGGUUGAAAUUUAUUUAUCACUUAAUUUAAUUUUACCAUCCAUCGAUUUGCAUUCACGGUAAAAAAGUGGAGUGAGAUUCAGACACUUAUAACUAUACAGAAAUUGAGAAAAUUAUGUGAUACAAAAAAAAGCAAGAAAUAAUAUAAGUGAUGAUGGACGCAAGAGAAAAUUUUGAAAUUGAAAUGAAGGGCAUAUGUGAGAAAAUAAAUUCAGACUUUAAUGAAAAUACGCCAUUAAAGGAAAGAUAGAGAAAAACAAAUCAAGAAAUAUUUUAUUACAUUAAUUGUUUUAGUGUUUCUUUUAAGCCUUUGGAUUAAACAAAUGAAAUGGAUGAGAUUUGGUGUCAUAUUUAAUUUGACACCUUGGUGUUAUUUGAUCCUAACCCUACAUAUAUUAUGAGAUGUCCCUACUAACUGAACUAACUUAUAGGGACACUCUCUGACUCACACCUUAUCAAAGGCAUCUACAUUUUAUUCUAGUCCCAACACUUAUCAUAUUCCAUAUUUUUUCCUUGUUCUGUUUUUUUUUUUUUUUUUUUUGUAAAUAAUCUUUUCUUGUUCUAUUGAAUAUAAAUAAAAACAGAGAUAUCAUAAUCUUUUUGGGGGAAUCACUUAACACAACUAUUUUAAAAGAUAUCAACACUAGAUUUACUAAGCAUUUCGACCAUUGUUUUUUCUUUUGGCUUAUUAUUGUUUUAUUGCAAUAAAGUUUGUAGCUAUUGUGGAAUCAAGAAAUGAUCUGCGAGAAUAUUGGAAACUAGUCAUGAAAAACCAAGACAUGCCUGAAGAAAUUCAGGGACUCCUUAAUGCCAACAUUAAAAGUAAUCUCAAUACCCAAGAGAAGGCGUUUAAAGAGGAUCUUGAAUCAAGACCCAAUAUUUCAGCAUACGAAAAUGAUGGCACUAACACCAAAGAAAAUAGUAAAGAUGUUAAAGAUUUUGAACCAAGACCCAACAUUUCAGCUUAUGGAGACAAUGACAUUGAAAAUAAGGAAAAGAAAGGUACCGUUAAAGAUUUUGAGCCACGACCCAACAUUUCAGCAUAUGGAGACAAUGCCAUAGAUGUUAAGGAAAAGAAGAAAGUCGUCAAAGAUUUCGAACCAAGACCUAAUAUUUCAGCUUACGAAGACAAUGUCGUUGAUGUUAAAAAAAAGAAGGGAGUCACUAAAGAUUUUGAACCAAGACCCAAUAUUUCAGCUUACGGAGAAAAUGACAGUGAUGUCAAACAAAAGAAGCAAACCAUUAAUGAUUUCGAACCAAGACCCAACAUUUCAGCUUAUGGAGAAAAUGAUAUCGAUGUUAAUGAAAAGAAGGCAGCCGCUAAGGAUUUUGAACCAAGACCCAAUAUUUCGGCUUAUGGAGACGAUGUCAUAGAUGUUAAGGAAAAGAAGAAAGCCGUCAAAGAUUUCGAACCAAGACCUAGUAUUUCAGCUUGCGGAGACAAUGUCAUUGAUGUUAAGAAAAAGAAGGGAGUCACUGAAGAUUUUGAACCAAGACCCAAUAUUUCAACUUAUGGAGAAAAUGACAUUGAUGUCAAAGAAAAGAAGCAAGCCACUAAUGGUUUCAAACCAAGACCAAACAUUUCAGCUUAUGGAAAGAAUGACAUCGAUGUUCAUGAAAAGAAGGCAGCCGGUAAGGAUUUUGAACCACGACCCAACAUUUCGGCUUAUGGAGACAAUGCCAUUGAUGCUAAGGAAAAGAGGGGAGCCACUAAUGAUUUUGAACCAAGACCAAACAUUUCAGCUUAUGGAGACAAUGACAUUGAUGUUAAUAAAAAGGAGGGAGCCAUCAAAGAUUUCGAACCAAGACCCAACAUUUCAGCUUAUGGAGAAAAUGACAUCAAUGAUAAUGAAACAAAGAAACCAGUCGAAGAUUUCGAACCAAGACCCAACAUUUCAGCUUACGGAGACAAUGACAUUGAUGACAGAAAAAAGAAUAAUGUCAUUUCAGAUUUUGAACCAAGACCAAACAUUUCAGCUUAUGGCAACAAUGAUAUUGACACCAAGGAAAAGGAGAAAGCUGCCAAAGAUUUUGAACCAAGGCCAAAUAUUUCAGCUUAUGGCAACAAUGAUAUUGACACCAAGGAAAAGGAGAAAGCUGCC